rnacentral:lncRNA from 1 species
UUUUUCACAGAAUCUCAGUCUGGAUUCUUCUACACUUCUCUUUACUCACAUACCUGCAAUUUUUUUCGUUCUUCGCCUUGUGUAUGAGGAGCUUAAGUUGAAUACUCUAAUGGGAGAAGGAAUUUGUUCACUCUUGAACUUCUCGUUCAGUUGGCAAGGUCAAACAGGAUUUAUGCAUCAUCCAUCAUUUUUUACGUCUGAGCUGGAAUCUGUGAAAGAAGCAGACUUGUAGUCUUGUGUACAUACUUGGUGAUGAGAGCUCAGUUUCUGAUGAAUCCUCACAGUAUUUAACCAGAAUAACUGUAGCCCCCCAGAAGUUGCAAGCAGAACAAGAGGAAAACAGGUUUAGUUUCAGGCAUUCUACGUCUGUUUCUAGUCUAGCUGAAAGAUUGGUUGG